GACGAACGCUGGCGGCGUGCUUAACACAUGCAAGUCGAACGGAAAGGCCCUGCUUUUGUGGGGUUCUCGAGUGGCGAACGUGUGAGUAACACGUGAGUAACCUGCCCUUGACUUUGGGAUAACUUCAGGCAACUGGGGCUAAUACCGGAUAGGAGCUCCUGCUGCAUGGUGGGGGUUGGAAAGUUUCGGCGGUUGGGGAUGGACUCGCGGCUUAUCAGCUUGUUGGUGGGGUAGUGGCUUACCAAGGCUUUGACGGAUAGCCGGCCUGAGAGGGUGACCGGCCACAUUGGGACUGAGAUACGGCCCAGACUCCUACGGGAGGCAGCAGUGGGGAAUAUUGCACAAUGGGCGGAAGCCUGAUGCAGCAACGCCGCGUGCGGGAUGACGGCCUUCGGGUUGUAAACCGCUGUCGCCUGUGACGAAGCGUGAGUGACGGUAAUGGGUAAAGAAGCACCGGCUAACUACGUG
rnacentral:rRNA from 1 species